UGGGGAAUUUUGGACAAUGGGCGCAAGCCUGAUCCAGCAAUGCCGCGUGCAGGAUGAAGGCCUUCGGGUUGUAAACUGCUUUUGUACGGAACGAAAAGGCUCUGGCUAAUACCUGGGGCACAUGACGGUACCGUAAGAAUAAGCACCGGCUAACUACGUGCCAGCAGCCGCGGUAAUACGUAGGGUGCGAGCGUUAAUCGGAAUUACUGGGCGUAAAGCGUGCGCAGGCGGUUUUGUAAGACAGAGGUGAAAUCCCCGGGCUCAACCUGGGAACUGCCUUUGUGACUGCAAGGCUGGAGUGCGGCAGAGGGGGAUGGAAUUCCGCGUGUAGCAGUGAAAUGCGUAGAUAUGCGGAGGAACACCGAUGGCGAAGGCAAUCCCCUGGGCCUGCACUGACGCUCAUGCACGAAAGCGUGGGGAGCAAACAGGAUUAGAUACCCUGGUAGUCCACGCCCUAAAGCGAUGUCAACUGGCUUGUUGGGUCUUAAUUGACUCAGUAACGAAGCUAACGCGUGAAGUUGACCGCCUGGGGAGUACGGCCGCAAGGUUGAAACUUAAAGGAAUUGACGGGGUC
rnacentral:rRNA from 1 species